rnacentral:miRNA from 1 species
UAGAGACGACAACAAUGGAAA